CCUACGGGUGGCAGCAGUGAGGAAUAUUGGUCAAUGGGCGCAAGCCUGAACCAGCCAAGCCGCGUGAGGGAAGACGGCCCUAUGCGUCGCAAACCUCUUUUGCCGGGGAGCAAAAGACCGCACGCGUGCCGUCCCGAGAGUACCCGUAGAAAAAGCAUCGGCUAACUCCGUGCCAGCAGCCGCGGUAAUACGGAGGAUGCGAGCGUUAUCCGGAUUUAUUGGGUUUAAAGGGUGCGCAGGCGGAAGAUCAAGGCAGCGGUAAAAUGGAGGGGCUCAACCUCGCCGAGCCGUUGAAACUGGUGGUCUUGAGUGCGUGAGAGGUAUGCGGAAUGCGUGGUGUAGCGGUGAAAUGCAUAGAUAUCACGCAGAACCCCGAUUGCGAAGGCAGCAUACCGGGGCGCAACUGACGCUGAGGCACGAAAGUGUGGGGAUCGAACAGGAUUAGAUACCCUAGUAGUC
rnacentral:rRNA from 1 species